UACGGAGGAUCCGAGCGUUAUCAGGAUUUAUUGGGUUUAAAGGGUGCGCAGGCGGGAGAUUAAGUCGGCGGUGAAAUUUUGCAGCUCAACUGUAAAAGUGCCUUCGAAACUGGUUUCCUUGAGUGUAGAUGAAGUAGGCGGAAUUUGUGGUGUAGCGGUGAAAUGCAUAGAUAUCACGAGGAACUCCGAUUGCGCAGGCAGCUUACUAAACUACUACUGACGCUCAGGCACGAAGGCGUGGGGAUCAAACAGGAUUAGAUACCCU
rnacentral:rRNA from 1 species